UACAGAGGUCCCAAGCGUUGUUCGGAUUCACUGGGCUUAAAGGGUGCGUAGGUGGGCAGGUAAGUCAGUGGUGAAAUCUCCGAGCUUAACUCGGAAACUGCCAUUGAUACUAUCUGUCUUGAAUUUUCUGGAGGUGAGCGGAAUAUGUCAUGUAGCGGUGAAAUGCUUAGAUAUGACAUAGAACACCCAUUGCGAAGGCAGCUCACUACGGGACAAUUGACACUGAGGCACGAAAGCGUGGGGAUCAAACAGG
rnacentral:rRNA from 1 species